UCAAGUCUGCUUUUCCAGCUUUCUUCAGGAUGAUGAGUGUUUUGGAAGUAAAAACCAAUUCACGGCUCGGUCGGUCACCUAUUAUAUACCCAGUAACCGGUAUCCCUGGUGUUCCUUUCAUGCGAGUAUACUAUCCACGUUCUUACGGUAAUGGAUAAUAUAUCUCAUGCGCUCUUUGGUUGAAGUUCUGUUUCUUCUCCAGUCGAGUAAGAUUCGUAUUCUUUGUAGAAUCGAACGUCCAUCUUGUAAGUUG
rnacentral:lncRNA from 1 species